AUGAACGCUAGCUACAGGCUUAACACAUGCAAGUCGAGGGGCAGCAUGGUCUUAGCUUGCUAAGGCCGAUGGCGACCGGCGCACGGGUGAGUAACACGUAUCCAACCUGCCGUCUACUCUUGGACAGCCUUCUGAAAGGAAGAUUAAUACAAGAUGGCAUCAUGAGUUCACAUGUUCACAUGAUUAAAGGUAUUCCGGUAGACGAUGGGGAUGCGUUCCAUUAGAUAGUAGGCGGGGUAACGGCCCACCUAGUCUUCGAUGGAUAGGGGUUCUGAGAGGAAGGUCCCCCACAUUGGAACUGAGACACGGUCCAAACUCCUACGGGAGGCAGCAGUGAGGAAUAUUGGUCAAUGGGCGAGAGCCUGAACCAGCCAAGUAGCGUGAAGGAUGACUGCCCUAUGGGUUGUAAACUUCUUUUAUAAAGGAAUAAAGUCGGGUAUGUAUACCCGUUUGCAUGUACUUUAUGAAUAAGGAUCGGCUAACUCCGUGCCAGCAGCCGCGGUAAUACGGAGGAUCCGAGCGUUAUCCGGAUUUAUUGGGUUUAAAGGGAGCGUAGAUGGAUGUUUAAGUCAGUUGUGAAAGUUUGCGGCUCAACCGUAAAAUUGCAGUUGAUACUGGAUAUCUUGAGUGCAGUUGAGGCAGGCGGAAUUCGUGGUGUAGCGGUGAAAUGCUUAGAUAUCACGAAGAACUCCGAUUGCGAAGGCAGCCUGCUAAGCUGCAACUGACAUUGAGGCUCGAAAGUGUGGGUAUCAAACAGGAUUAGAUACCCUGGUAGUCCACGCCGUAAACGAUGAUUGCUAGGUGUAGGUGGGUAUGGACCCAUCGGUGCCGUAGCUAACGCAAUAAGCAAUCCACCUGGGGAGUACGUUCGCAAGAAUGAAACUCAAAGGAAUUGACGGGGGCCCGCACAAGCAGUGGAGUAUGUGGUUUAAUUCGACGCAACGCGAAGAACCUUACCAAGUCUUGACAUCCCUUGACAGACAUAGAAAUAUGUAAUCUCUUCGGAGCAAGGAGACAGGUGGUGCAUGGUUGUCGUCAGCUCGUGCCGUGAGGUGUCGGCUUAAGUGCCAUAACGAGCGCAACCCUUGUUGUCAGUUACUAACAGGUUUUGCUGAGGACUCUGACAAGACUGCCAUCGUAAGAUGUGAGGAAGGUGGGGAUGACGUCAAAUCAGCACGGCCCUUACGUCCGGGGCUACACACGUGUUACAAUGGGGGGUACAGAGGGCCGCUACCACGCGAGUGGAUGCCAAUCCCCAAAACCUCUCUCAGUUCGGACUGGAGUCUGCAACCCGACUCCACGAAGCUGGAUUCGCUAGUAAUCGCGCAUCAGCCACGGCGCGGUGAAUACGUUCCCGGGCCUUGUACACACCGCCCGUCAAGCCAUGGGAGCCGGGGGUACCUGAAGUGCGUAACCGCGAGGAGUGCCCUAGGGUAAAACUGGUGACUGGGGCU
rnacentral:rRNA from 1 species